UUUCCCACCUGAGUCCCUUGUCUGUGUAGUGGGAAGAUUAUGAGGGACAAAUAUGCCACAGCACAGUGCAUGGCGUCAGUGCCGUGCUGGGUCAUUGGCUUAGCUUGGAAGGUCAUGGAAUUAUUGGGGAUUUUUAGCAACAGGUCCUGUUUCACUUCCUUGUUCCACAGAGGCUUCCAGCCCCAGCCAGACACAAGUCCUGCUCUGCUCAACGUGCUGGAACAAGACAGGAAACUGCGCCCCAUUUUUCCUGUUCUUUGGAAGAGUUUGUGUUGGAUGGAACGUUGUCUUUGAGUGUUUUCGUAGGGUUUGCCUGUAAGUCUUUCUCCACGGACCUGCUGUUUUUCUUGUGGGAGCAUUUUAAACCACUUACACGCCUUCAGACCUUUUAGGAUUUUUUUCCUUCUUGAGUUUACUUGACUUUCCUCUUACGAACCAAGCAUGAUGGCACAUGCUUGUAAUCCCAGCACUCAGGAUGUGGAGGCAGGAGGAUCAGAGCUAGAGAUCACCCUCCACUACAAAGUAAGCUCAAGGCCAACCUGGAAUUCAGGACACCAGCUCAAAAUUAAAUUCCAACCUUUUUUUUCUUGAUGUUUUUAAUCUCUACAUCUUAUUAGUUCGUUCUUUCUGGUUUACUGUGUUCUGGCUUACUUUUCUAUACUCUGAAGCUGCCAUCUUAGCUUUUCUUCUUUGUCCAAAAUAAUAUUUCAUGGAUACUAAUCUUAUUUUUAAAGUCUUGCUUCAGAUACAUUCCUAAACUUCUGAAUUAUAAUCUCCUCAUUACAAAACAGUUUGAAAAUAUAGCCUAUAUUUAUUUAAACCAAUUCCUAUUCUAAUUUCUUUUUGGAAAUAAAUUACUGCCUUAUGAUUCUUCUUAAGCAGCGAGUUUUAACUUGUAUUCAGUGGAAUGCACAGAUGAUAGAUCUACUUGGACAGGUUCACAUGCACAUAUAGAUGCAUGCAGGAGCCCAAAGAGGCCAGAAGAAGAUGUCUGAUCCCCCGGAGUGGGAGUUGGUAGUGGUUGGGAGCUGCCUAGUAUGGAUUUAUUUUAGCUUUUCUACUGUCUCAGCUGAAUUCUUGAUGUGGCUCAAAGCAGAGUUGUUCAGAUUUCCAACAGCGCCUCCCUACUGUGCAUGCUCAAGCAUGUUUCUCAGCUCGGAGUUCUCUCCACUCAUGCAGAAUCAACUGCUCCAUGAGAGGUCUGUGCAGAAUUGGGGGCUCCUUCUCUACACAGAAUCAUCCUGGCCAGUACCCAGUUCCCCAAUCCCUGACGUCUAUUUCUUCCUUCUGUGAGACCACUAGUUUUUGUAGACUUGUGAUUCUCAACCUGUGGGUCUAAAC